rnacentral:SRP_RNA from 1 species
CUGUGCUAGACGGGGAGCUAGCGGUGCCCUGUAACCUGCAAUCCGCUAUAGCAGGGUUGAAUUCCUUUUCGAGGUCUGCUCGUUUCUGAACUUACCCUCGCGAGCAAUGUUGAAAAUCCAGGUCCUACGCAAUAGAUACGCCCCAAACCCCGUCAGGAGCGGAAGCUAGCAGCGGUAGGAGUGGAUUCUAUGUGCCGUGGGAUGACCCGGAUCGAGUUGCGAGCGUUGGCAAGCCAGGAAUAGAGGGGUCGAGGAAAGGUGCACAG